CUUUGGAACCUAAUGGCCUGCCACCUUUUAGGCGUGCUUUCAACUCAUUAGAUAUGACACUAGAAGAUUGUCCAAUAGGGAUAUCAAUACGGAUUGGAACAGUCUCUGCGGGGAUGUGAGAUUUUGUUAUCCUUUUCAAGUCCGUGAAUGCGUCAGGCAUUUGAUUUGCUAUUCUUUGCAAAUGGAUAAUAUUUUGCACCNNN
rnacentral:lncRNA from 1 species